rnacentral:rRNA from 1 species
AGCGAACGCUGGCGGCAGGCUUAACACAUGCCAGUCGAGCGGGCAUCCUUGUGGUGUCAGCGGCAGACGGGUGAGUAACGCGUGGGGACGUGCCCUUCGGUUCGGAAUAACUCAGGGAAACUUGAGCUAAUACCGGAUACGCCCUUUUGGGGAAAGGUUUACUGCCGAAGGAUCGGCCCGCGUCUGAUUAGCUAGUUGGUGAGGUUAUGGCUCACCAAGGCGACGAUCAGUAGCUGGUCUGAGAGGAUGAUCAGCCACACUGGGACUGAGACACGGCCCAGACUCCUACGGGAGGCAGCAGUGGGGAAUAUUGGACAAUGGGGGCAACCCUGAUCCAGCCAUGCCGCGUGAGUGAUGACGGCCUUAGGGUUGUAAAGCUCUUUUCUCCGGGACGAUAAUGACGGUACCGGAGGAAUAAGCCCCGGCUAACUUCGUG